rnacentral:lncRNA from 1 species
CUGGGUCGGGGGCUGCAGGUGGGAGUGAGCAAAUGUGCUGUCUCGCCACCUCGGGACAGGUGGUAGGGCCUCUGACACAGAGUGGUCCUUCCUGCUGUUCACAGCUCAGCUCACCGUGGGCUGACCAUAGAUUCUCGUUGAAAUCCUAACGCCCCAGGCAAUGAUGUUAGGAGGCGGGGCUUCUGGGAGAUGGCAAGUUCGUGAGGCUGCAGCUCUGCUGGGGGAUCAGUGUCCUUCUACAAGCGGCUCCAGGGAGGUCCCUUGCCCCUUCCACCAUGUGAGGACCCGAGAUGGUGCCGUCUAUGAACCGGGAAGUGAGUCCUCUCCGGACGUGGAACAAGUUGGUGCCUUGAUUUUGAACUUGCAGCCUCCAGGUAUGAAUGUGAGCUCUGGGCUCACUGCCUGUGGGGAGCCCUGCCUCACAAGGAGGGGUCCCUCUGCAUCUGCCAUGCAUGGCUGUUUCAAUCAAAGCUGCUGUCUAACACCACCGGCUCGACCUUGAGUUCCUCCCUGAGCAAAGCCAAGCGACCUCCUGGACUGAGCCAGUUUUCGUGCCUGCCUGCCCUGGCUCAUUGGCCAGGGACCCCACCCCGCCAUGUCCAGGCCUUGGUGAUACAGGACAGAGGUGCCCGUGCAGGUUGUGCCUGUGGCUGGGUCCCCAGGGAGAAGGUGGCAACCCCAGGCCAGCAGCCUCCUACCCUGAACUCCAGGCAACAUCGUCGGCCCCCUGGCACUGCACCUGCACUGUGGGCAGAGAAGGAGGGAAGGCUGGGAGAGGAGGAGGAGGUCGAAUGUCGCUGGAGGUCGGCGUCCUUCUGCAGCCGUGGCUUCAUGGGGUUUAAGUACGAUGAUGCUGCAUUGAGACGUUGUACUGUGUGAAGUCAGGGCCUUCUGUGCAUCGGUCGAGGGUGCAAUGCACACGGCACCCCCGAGCAGCCACCCAUCCUCCCUUCCCUCCACCCUGCGAGGCCCCGUUGUCCGUCUGUCCACACUCUGCUCCAUGAGCACACGUGACUUAGCUUCGCCUUGUGAGCCGCUGCUUGGGGUGAGCAUGCUUCCUGCUGGAUGCUUCUCUAUGUAAGCACCUGCCUGAGUGUCAGCCCUCUUAAGGUGAACCGCUCCGUGUCAUUCGUACAUUCACAAGUUUGUGCCGCCAUCAUCGUGAUCGGAUUCCAAAACAUUUUCAUCACCUCCAAGAAAGCCUUGUACCUGGCAGCAGUCACUGUCUCUAUGGAUUUGCUUAUUCUGGACAUUUCAUAAAAAUAGAAUCAAACAGCAUUUGGC